AGAAUUAUUUUCCAAAUAUGAAGAUGAAAAGGAUAAACUAUAUGCCCGUUACGAACAACAGCGGAAGAAGGAAAAAGCUAAUCUGUCGAAACUUGAGAAGGCUUGUGCUCUGAAGAUUGCCAGAGCAGAAGAAUCUCUAAAAAAGAAGAAGCAGGAUGACAAAUCUUUCAGCAUAUUGCGCAAGUCUCUUGGCUCAUUUCUGGAAGGCGCAUCUGAUGAUGAUUUUGGGCCUGAUGAAUGAGCCUUGAUUACCGGUAACUGCUCUUGGAUAUGGGGAAGCAUAAAAUUCUGUAUAUAAACCUUAUUCCCUUUGACAUCAUCUAUCUUCUUUAACUGAAGAUUUUGCCCAAUUAUUGGACAGUGAAUUGGGAUUAAAAUUUGUCAAUGGUUCCUAGGCCCUAGAAUCUGUUUUGUUAAUAUAAGAAAUG